rnacentral:rRNA from 1 species
AUUGAACGCUGGCGGAAUGCUUUACACAUGCAAGUCGAACGGCAGCACGGACUUCGGUCUGGUGGCGAGUGGCGAACGGGUGAGUAAUGUAUCGGAACGUGCCCAGUCGUGGGGGAUAACGUAGUGAAAAUUACGCUAAUACCGCAUACGAUCUAUGGAUGAAAGCGGGGGAUCGCAAGACCUCGCGCGAUUGGAGCGGCCGAUAUCAGAUUAGGUAGUUGGUGGGGUAAAGGCCCACCAAGCCAACGAUCUGUAGCUGGUCUGAGAGGACGACCAGCCACACUGGAACUGAGAUACGGUCCAGACUCCUACGGGAGGCAGCAGUGGGGAAUUUUGGACAAUGGGCGAAAGCCUGAUCCAGCCAUUCCGCGUGCAGGAUGAAGGCCCUCGGGUUGUAAACUGCUUUUGUACAGAACGAAAAGGUUUCUACUAAUACUAGGAGCUCAUGACGGUACUGUAAGAAUAAGCACCGGCUAACUACGUGCCAGCAGCCGCGUAA